rnacentral:rRNA from 1 species
UACAGAGGGUGCAAGCGUUGUUCGGAAUUAUUGGGCGUAAAGGGCGUGUAGGCGGUUUGCUAAGUCAUGUGUGAAAUCCCUCGGCUUAACCGAGGAACGACGCAUGAUACUGGCAAGCUAGAGUACCAAAGAGGGGGGUGGAAUUCCACGUGUAGCAGUGAAAUGCGUAGAGAUGUGGAGGAACACCGAUGGCGAAGGCAGCCCCCUGGGCUGAGAUUGACGCUCAGGCACGAAAGCGUGGGGAGCAAACAGG